UACGUAGGGUGCGAGCGUUGUCCGGAAUUAUUGGGCGUAAAGAGCUCGUAGGCGGUCUGUCGCGUCGAAUGUGAAAACCCGGGGCUCAACUCCGGGCUUGCAUUCGAUACGGGCAGACUAGAGUUCGGUAGGGGAGUCUGGAAUUCCUGGUGUAGCGGUGAAAUGCGCAGAUAUCAGGAGGAACACCGGUGGCGAAGGCGGGACUCUGGGCCGAUACUGACGCUGAGGAGCGAAAGCGUGGGGAGCAAACAGG
rnacentral:rRNA from 1 species